CAAUGUGAUAGAAGAAUAACCCUUUUAUUCAUUUAUAGUCAAAAUUAUAAAUUUGCCCUUAGAUCUGUACAGAAAUGUGUCAGCCGAUCUGGCAUCUAGGGCACACAUCUAACAGCCCAGUAUUACAAUACAAAGGUCAAACCGAAGGUCUUCCAUCCAAGAGAUUUGAUCCUAAAGAAGGCAAAAGUUUUAAAAUCUUUGGAUCAAGAAAUCCAAAUUGGGAAGGACCCAAUAGGGUAACUGAGACACUCCGCCCGGAUGC
rnacentral:lncRNA from 1 species